GGCCCCGCACAAGCGGUGGAGCAUGUGGUUUAAUUCGAUGCAACGCGAAGAACCUUACCAGGACUUGACAUGCCACUUUUUUCCCUGAAAAGGGAAGUUCCAGAGUGGACACAGGUGGUGCAUGGCUGUCGUCAGCUCGUGUCUUGAGAUGUUGGGUUAAGUCCCGCAACGAGCGCAACCCUUGUUUUAAAUUGCCAAUUUUGGGAAAUUUGAAAGACUGCCGGUGACAAGCCGGAGGAAGGUGAGGAUGACGUCAAGUCAGCAUGCCCCUUACGUCCUGGGCGACACACGUGCUACAAUGGCCGGGACAAAGAGAUGCAAACUCGCGAGAGCUAGCCAA
rnacentral:rRNA from 1 species